ACUCCUACGGGAGGCAGCAGUGGGGAAUAUUGCGCAAUGGGGGAAACCCUGACGCAGCAACGCCGCGUGGGUGAUGAAGGUCUUCGGAUUGUAAAGCCCUGUUUUCUGGGACGAUAAUGACGGUACCAGAGGAGGAAGCCACGGCUAACUACGUGCCAGCAGCCGCGGUAAUACGUAGGUGGCGAGCGUUGUCCGGAUUUACUGGGCGUAAAGGGUGCGUAGGCGGAUGUUUAAGUGGGAUGUGAAAUCCCCGGGCUUAACCUGGGGGCUGCAUUCCAAACUGGAUAUCUAGAGUGCAGGAGAGGAAAGCGGAAUUCCUAGUGUAGCGGUGAAAUGCGUAGAGAUUAGGAAGAACACCAGUGGCGAAGGCGGCUUUCUGGACUGUAACUGACGCUGAGGCACGAAAGCGUGGGUAGCAAACAGGAUUAGAUACCCUGGUAGUCCACGCCGUAAACGAUGGAUACUAGGUGUAGGGGGUAUCAACUCCCCCUGUGCCGCAGUUAACACAAUAAGUAUCCCGCCUGGGGAGUACGGUCGCAAGAUUA
rnacentral:rRNA from 1 species